GAUGAACGCUGGCGGCGUGCCUAAUACAUGCAAGUCGAGCGAACAGACGAGGAGCUUGCUCCUCUGACGUUAGCGGCGGACGGGUGAGUAACACGUGGAUAACCUACCUAUAAGACUGGGGUAACUUCGGGAAACCGGAGCUAAUACCGGAUAAUAUAUUGAACCGCAUGGUUCAAUAGUGAAAGACGGUUUUGCUGUCACUUAUAGAUGGAUCCGCGCCGCAUUAGCUAGUUGGUAAGGUAACGGCUUACCAAGGCAACGAUGCGUAGCCGACCUGAGAGGGUGAUCGGCCACACUGGAACUGAGACACGGUCCAGACUCCUACGGGAGGCAGCAGUAGGGAAUCCUCCGCAAUGGGCGAAAGCCUGACGGAGCAACGCCGCGUGAGUGAUGAAGGUCUUCGGAUCGUAAAACUCUGUUAUUAGGGAAGAACAAAUGUGUAAGUAACUAUGCACGUCUUGACGGUACCUAAUCAGAAAGCCACGGCUAACUACGUG
rnacentral:rRNA from 1 species